rnacentral:lncRNA from 1 species
CACCCCUGGUCGGGAUGCUAAAUCAGGAGCCGGAGUCAGAGGAGUGGAGCCACGAGAGAGAGAGAGCUUCCCAAAACCCCACCUUAUAUAAGCUAUGGCCUGAGACCCCUGGACCCGCCCCUGCUGUCCCCAAGUCCCCCAGAGAUGCCCUCCUCACUGCGGGACGUCCCACCAGGGUCGCUACACAGCUCCCCCCUUUACAAGCCCUCGACCCCGAGGGCACAAACAAAGUCACUCAGGCGACCUGGAGGUCUCCUCUCUCUCCGAGGCCUCGACUUGUUCUCCCCACCAAGUGUCUCUUCC